rnacentral:snRNA from 1 species
UCACUUCAGCAGCACGUAUACUAAAAUUGGAAUUAUACAGAGAUUAGCAUGGCCCCUGUAAAAGGACGGCACGCAAAUUUGUGAAGUGUUCCAUACUAAA